GCUAUACAUGCAAGUCGAGCGGACAGAAGGGAGCUUGCUCCCGGAUGUUAGCGGCGGACGGGUGAGUAACACGUGGGUAACCUGCCUGUAAGACUGGGAUAACUCCGGGAAACCGGAGCUAAUACCGGAUAGUUCCUUGAACCGCAUGGUUCAAGGAUGAAAGACGGUUUCGGCUGUCACUUACAGAUGGACCCGCGGCGCAUUAGCUAGUUGGUGAGGUAACGGCUCACCAAGGCGACGAUGCGUAGCCGACCUGAGAGGGUGAUCGGCCACACUGGGACUGAGACACGGCCCAGACUCCUACGGGAGGCAGCAGUAGGGAAUCUUCCGCAAUGGACGAAAGUCUGACGGAGCAACGCCGCGUGAGUGAUGAAGGUUUUCGGAUCGUAAAGCUCUGUUGUUAGGGAAGAACAAGUGCAAGAGUAACUGCUUGCACCUUGACGGUACCUAACCAGAAAGCCACGGCUAACUACGUGCCAGCAGCCGCGGUAAUACGUAGGUGGCAAGCGUUGUCCGGAAUUAUUGGGCGUAAAGGGCUCGCAGGCGGUUUCUUAAGUCUGAUGUGAAAGCCCCCGGCUCAACCGGGGAGGGUCAUUGGAAACUGGGAAACUUGAGUGCAGAAGAGGAGAGUGGAAUUCCACGUGUAGCGGUGAAAUGCGUAGAGAUGUGGAGGAACACCAGUGGCGAAGGCGACUCUCUGGUCUGUAACUGACGCUGAGGAGCGAAAGCGUGGGGAGCGAACAGGAUUAGAUACCCUGGUAGUCCACGCCGUAAACG
rnacentral:rRNA from 1 species